rnacentral:lncRNA from 1 species
ACCUCUUUCUAUCCUGCGGUGAAAAGCUCAUAACAGCUCAACAGAAAUGUCCUUGCUCACCAAGUCACAAAAGGCGCUGAAAACCUGUAGUUAUCUGGGGGAGUAGUGUUGUGUAAUCCGUGGUGAAAUCAAGGCCGUGGACAUCAUACCUCCAACUCUUUUGUUCUGCGACCCCCUUUUUCGGUGGUGCUCUCUUUGGAGGCUUUUCCUCCCCUUGAGUGGUUUCUGCACCACCUUGCCAACGCAUGCUCUCCGGAUCUUGCUAGAGGUGCGGAAAUCUCUGUGUGAGGGACUGUCUGCGUGAUGCCAUAUUAGCGUGAGACCCUGGCGAAUGUGCCCUGCUUCUCAGCACAGCCUGUUAGUUUGGACAGUGCCGCACUAUAGCUUUCUGUGCCUGAGCUGGCUUGGAUGAGCACGAGAGCCUCCCUGCCCCAACCCAGAAGGUAUUAAAGCAACUGUGGGAAUUUUCCCCACACCAAAAA